UACGGGGGGAGCAAGCGUUGUUCGGAUUUACUGGGCGUAAAGGGCGCGUAGGCGGCUCUGCACGUUCGUUGUGAAAUCGCCCGGCUCAACUGGGCGGGGUCAGCGGAUACGGCAGAGCUUGAGCAAGCUAGGGGGCAAUGGAAUUCCCGGUGUAGUGGUGGAAUGCGUAGAUAUCGGGAGGAACACCAGUGGCGAAGGCGGUUGCCUGGGGCUUUGCUGACGCUGAUGCGCGAAAGCGUGGGGAGCGAUCCGG
rnacentral:rRNA from 1 species